AUUUAUGUAUACGGAGCAGACCCCCGGCUACCUGACCAACUGCCUGGCGGUACUCGUAUGGUAUCGGGCCGCACUUUGUGCGUCGGGCCCGUCGCAAGCUAGAUCAGUGUUUCUCGGAGGUGCGGACCUAGUGCCGUCCCCGGGCCUGGUCAGCUGUUGGUCGGCGGUGUUCUCGGACAGGCUCAUUAUUUAUGAUACCGGUCAGUGACGCUACUGCUUUGGGUACUUUCAGGACCCGUCUUGAAACACGGACCAAGGAGUCUAACAUGUGCGCGAGUCAUUGGGACCGCAAAACCUAAAGGCGUAAUGAAAGUGAAGGUCGAUCUUGCGUCGACUAAGGGAGGAUGGGUUGUAUUACGAUACAGCUCCGCACUCCCGGGGCGUCUCGUACUCAUUGCGAGUUGAGGCGCACCCAGAGCGUACACGUUGGGACCCGAAAGAUGGUGAACUAUGCCUGGUCAGGACGAAGUCAGGGGAAACCCUGAUGGAGGUCCGUAGCGAUUCUGACGUGCAAAUCGAUCGUCGGAACUGGGUAUAGGGGCGAAAGACUAAUCGAACCAUCUAGUAGCUGGUUCCCUCCGAAGUUUCCCUCAGGAUAGCUGGCACUCGUUUGAGCGAGUCUCAUCUGGUAAAGCGAAUGAUUAGAGGCCUUGGGGCCGAAACGACCUCAACCUAUUCUCAAACUUUAAAUGGGUGAGAUCUCUGGCUUGCUUGAACAGUGAAGCCACGAGAUUUCGGAUCAGAGUGCCAAGUGGGCCAAUUUU
rnacentral:rRNA from 1 species